rnacentral:rRNA from 1 species
UACGUAGGGUGCAAGCGUUGUCCGGAAUUAUUGGGCGUAAAGAGCUCGUAGGCGGUCUGUCGCGUCGAAUGUGAAAACCCGGGGCUCAACCCCGGGCCUGCAUUCGAUACGGGCAGACUGGAGUACUGCAGGGGAGACUGGAAUUCCUGGUGUAGCGGUGGAAUGCGCAGAUAUCAGGAGGAACACCGGUGGCGAAGGCGGCGAUCUGGACGAUGACUGACGCUGAGACGCGAAAGCGUGGGGAGCAAACAGG